rnacentral:rRNA from 1 species
AUUGAACGCUGGCGGCGUGCCUAACACAUGCAAGUCGAGCGGUAACAGGUGUAGCAAUACAUGCUGACGAGCGGCGGACGGGUGAGUAACGCUUGGGAAUCUGCCUAUUAGUGGGGGACAACCCGGGGAAACUCGGGCUAAUACCGCAUACGCUCUACGGAGGAAAGCCGGGGACCGCAAGGCCUGGCGCUAAUAGAUGAGCCCAAGUCGGAUUAGCUAGUUGGUAGGGAACGGCCUACCAAGGCUACGAUCCGUAACUGGUCUGAGAGGACGACCAGUCACACCGGAACUGAGACACGGUCCGGACUCCUACGGGAGGCAGCAGUGGGGAAUCUUGCACAAUGGGCGAAAGCCUGAUGCAGCAACGCCGCGUGCGGGAAGAAGGCCUUAGGGUUGUAAACCGCUUUCAGCAGGGAAGAAAAUGACGGUACCUGUAGAAGAAGGUGCGGCCAACUACGUGCCAGCCGCCGCGGUAAC